CAGCUUCUAACUCAACAAGUCCUUGUAGAACUGGGCAGCAUUGGUUAACAACUGGGUCACCAAGACCAAUGUGAACCAACCCACCAAGAAGGUCCACACAAGCACCCAAUUUGAGGGUGUCAAUGGGGCAUGUGGCAGCCGCUGGUGGAGGUGGUGUGUAUGAACAUGGGCAUGGCUUCCUAGCACUUGGUGGAUUAGGGAGAACUGGAGGCAGUGCAACUGGUGGGAGAGUGGGGAGGUCGACUGGUGGCUUGAUCGGCGGGACGGUCACCGGAGGGAGAGUGACUGGUGGCAAGGGAACUGGGGGUUUGACAAUGGGAGGAAGACCGAUGGGUCUAGGCUGCCUAGGUUUCCUGUGCUUCGGGUGCGGCUUGCCACACGUGCCACAGCCAAGAAUGGGAGUGGCUGUGGAGAUGAAAAGCAUGCAAAUGAUGAGGAGAGCUGAGAGUUUGGAGGAGUCCAUUUUUUUUUUUUUCUUUAUUUUAAAUCUCUCUUCUUUCUGUUGUAGUAAGUUGUAACAAAGAGAGGGUGAUGAAGAUUUUACAGGAAAAGCAUAGGAGUUAUAUAGGGGGUAGCGUGCGAGCAAAAUUUUUUAUUUUUAUUUUAUUUUAUUUUUUUGUAAGUCUAGAAAGCAAAUCACGUGAAGAUGAGCUAAUGAGCACAGAAGGCAGCUGUCAGAUUUGGAUAGUUGGUAUUACAAAUGCAUAAUUUCGUGUUAUUUUUUAGGAGUAGGGUUCGAUAUUUUAAUUAAAUUAUUUGAUAUUUAUCAAGUGAAUGAUGAGAUAAAAUAAUUAAUUUAUCAAGUGAAUGAUGAGAUAAAAUAAUUAUUUAGAAUUUUUGAAAAUUAUAAAGCAUGAACGAGACAUCGCAUGUAACACAAUUUAAGAUAAAAUUAAAUUUAGGAUAAAAGUUUGGAAUGUAAAUUGUUAUAUAUUAGUGUUAUUUAUGAUUCAAUUAGCAAUGGUGUUUCUUUGUUAAUUAUUGUUGUUUUGUUCGGCUGCUCUGUUUUGGCUUGCAAAACGUCAUCGCGUUGUUACUCCAGUUAAUGUUAAUGUUAUUUUUCGAGGGAGUCAAAAAAUUAUCUUCGAUGAAUGGUAGGAAACAUCACUCAAGAAAUUAAUCAGAAAGUAGUUUUUUUUUUUUUGGUCCUCAAAAGUCAAAAGUAACAUUAAUCUAGCACUGACAUACUCCC
rnacentral:lncRNA from 1 species